GAGGUGGGAGGAUUGUUUGAGCCUGGGAGGUUGAGGCUGCAGUGAGCUUGACACGCCACUGCACUCCAGCCUGAGUGACAGAGCCAGACCCUGUCUC
ensembl:miRNA